rnacentral:rRNA from 1 species
UGGGGAAUAUUGGACAAUGGGCGCAAGCCUGAUCCAGCCAUACCGCGUGGGUGAAGAAGGCCUUCGGGUUGUAAAGCCCUUUUGUUGGGAAAGAAAUCCAGCCGGCUAAUACCUGGUUGGGAUGACGGUACCCAAAGAAUAAGCACCGGCUAACUUCGUGCCAGCAGCCGCGGUAAUACGAAGGGUGCAAGCGUUACUCGGAAUUACUGGGCGUAAAGCGUGCGUAGGUGGUCGUUUAAGUCCGUUGUGAAAGCCCUGGGCUCAACCUGGGAACUGCAGUGGAUACUGGGCGACUAGAGUGUGGUAGAGGGUAGCGGAAUUCCUGGUGUAGCAGUGAAAUGCGUAGAGAUCAGGAGGAACAUCCAUGGCGAAGGCAGCUACCUGGACCAACACUGACACUGAGGCACGAAAGCGUGGGGAGCAAACAGGAUUAGAUACCCUGGUAGUCCACGCCCUAAACGAUGCGAACUGGAUGUUGGGUGCAAUUUGGCACGCAGUAUCGAAGCUAACGCGUUAAGUCCGCCGCCUGGGGAGUACGGUCGCAAGACUGAAACUUAAAUGAAUUGACGGGGUCAUAGCUGUUUCCGU